CGGCGAGUGAAGCGGCAACAGCUCAAAUUUGAAAUCUGGCCCUCGGGUCCGAGUUGUAAUUUGUAGAGGAUGCUUUUGGUGCGGUACCUUCCGAGUUCCCUGGAACGGGACGCCAUAGAGGGUGAGAGCCCCGUCUGGUUGGAUGCCAAUCCUCUGUAAAGCUCCUUCGACGAGUCGAGUAGUUUGGGAAUGCUGCUCUAAAUGGGAGGUAUAUGUCUUCUAAAGCUAAAUACCGGCCAGAGACCGAUAGCGCACAAGUAGAGUGAUCGAAAGAUGAAAAGCACUUUGAAAAGAGAGUUAAAAAGUACGUGAAAUUGUUGAAAGGGAAGCGCUUAUGACCAGACUUGGGCUUGGUUGAUCAUCCUGGGUUCUCCCUGGUGCACUCUUCCAGUUCAGGCCAGCAUCAGUUUGCUUCGGGGGAUAAAGGUUUCGGGAAUGUGGCUCCCUCGGGAGUGUUAUAGCCCGUUUCGUAAUACCCUGGGACAGACUGAGGUUCGCGCAUCUGCAAGGAUGCUGGCGUAAUGGUCAUCAGCGACCCGUCUUGAAACACGGACCAAGGAGUCGUCUUCGUAUGCGAGUGUUCGGGUGUUAAACCCCUACGCGUAAUGAAAGUGAACGCAGGUGAGAGCUUCGGCGCAUCAUCGACCGAUCCUGAUGUUCUCGGAUGGAUUUGAGUAAGAGCAUACGGGGCCGGACCCGAAAGAAGGUGAACUAUGCCUGUAUAGGGUGAAGCCAGAGGAAACUCUGGUGGAGGCUCGCAGCGGUUCUGACGUGCAAAUCGAUCGUCAAAUAUGGGCAUGGGGGCGAAAGACUAAUCGAACCUUCUAGUAGCUGGUUUCCGCCGAAGUUUCCCUCAGGAUAGCAGUGUUGACUUCAGUUUUAUGAGGUAAAGCGAAUGAUUAGGGACUCGGGGGCGCUAUAUUGCCUUCAUCCAUUCUCAAACUUUAAA
rnacentral:rRNA from 1 species